rnacentral:rRNA from 1 species
AACGAACGCUGGCGGCAUGCCUAACACAUGCAAGUCGAACGAGAUCUUCGGAUCUAGUGGCGCACGGGUGCGUAACGCGUGGGAAUCUGCCCUUGGGUACGGAAUAACCCAGAGAAAUUUGGGCUAAUACCGUAUGAUGACGUAAGUCCAAAGAUUUAUCGCCCAGGGAUGAGCCCGCGUAGGAUUAGGUAGUUGGUGAGGUAAAGGCUCACCAAGCCGACGAUCCUUAGCUGGUCUGAGAGGAUGAUCAGCCACCCUGGGACUGAUACACGGACCAGACUGUUACGGGAGGCAGCAGUGAGGAAUAUUGGACAAUGGGCGAAAGCCUGAUCCAGCAAUGCCGCGUGAGUGAUGAAGGCCUUAGGGUUGUAAAGCUCUUUUACCCGGGAAGAUAAUGACUGUACCGGGAGAAUAAGCCCCGGCUAACUCCGUGCCAGCCGCCGCGGUAAAAC